AACGCUGGCGGCGUGCCUAAUACAUGCAAGUCGAACGGUCUUUCUAUGGAAGCUUGCUUCCACUGAGAAGAUAGUGGCGAACGGGUGAGUAACACGUGGGUAACCUGCCCAUAAGAGGGGGAUAACAUCCGGAAACGGGUGCUAAUACCGCAUAGUUUUCUUGAUUGCAUGAUUGAGAAAGGAAAGACGGCCUUUGUGCUGUCGCUUAUGGAUGGACCCGCGGCGUAUUAGUUAGUUGGUGAGGUAACGGCUCACCAAGACGAUGAUACGUAGCCGACCUGAGAGGGUGAUCGGCCACAUUGGGACUGAGACACGGCCCAAACUCCUACGGGAGGCAGCAGUAGGGAAUCUUCCGCAAUGGACGAAAGUCUGACGGAGCAACGCCGCGUGAGUGAAGAAGGUUUUUCCGGAUCGUAAAACUCUGUUGUCAGAGAAGAACAAGUUGGAGAGUAACUGCUCCAGCCUUGACGGUAUCUGACCAGAAAGCCACGGCUAACUACGUGCCAGCAGCGGC
rnacentral:rRNA from 1 species